UUUGACUCCAGGUUAAUAUUGUACAAAUUUUGAAAUGAGGACAUUUCCUUUGAAGAGGAGGAGAAACUUUGGGAAAAACGUUUCUCUGUUCAGCAUCGAUUUCAGGAUUAUUUCAAGUUAUAACAAAUCAUGUCACGAAGAAGCUCUAGACUGGCAUCCCUUGGAUACUAUGAUAGUAAUGGUAUACCAACCAUAAAUUACAAAGAGACACCUUGGAGAUCACGUAAAAGGCGAAGAGUUCGUCCUCAAGUCCCGGAGGAGAUGAUAUCUCCUGUAGAAGACGAGUUCCCCGUCUGCAACACUUUUGAUGCAGAAGAAGAGUGCAGUAAAAUAAAACUGCUACUUUCUAUGUUAUAUGUAUUUUUAAUAAUCUUCAG